GAAAUGCGAUAAGUAAUGUGAAUUGCAGAAUUCAGUGAAUCAUCGAAUCUUUGAACGCAUCUUGCGCUCCUUGGUAUUCUGAGGAGCAUGCCUGUUUGAGUGUCAUUAAAUUCUCAAAAUUACCAAAAUUUUGUUAUGGUGGUUUUGGAGUGGCUGGGAGUUUUGCAGGUCUUAUCAGAAAAAGGCCAGCUGUCCUAAAAUCGAUCGCAGGGCUGGCGAAGGGAGCUCUUAGUAGUGUGAUAAAAGAGAAAUUGAUCACUAGAGAAAAAGGGCCUCUUCARAUUGCUUUGGUUUAUAUGAAUGCUAGCUGAUAAAAGAAAGUUGACCUCAAAUCAGGUAGGAGUACCCGCUGAACUUAA
rnacentral:rRNA from 1 species